AGCCAUGGCAUGUCUAAGUAUAAAUAACUACACAGUGGAAACUGCGAAUGGCUCAUUAAAACAGUUAUAGUUUAUUUGAUACAAGAAAUGGAUAACUGUAGAAAAACUAGAGCUAAUACAUGCCGUAACCGCAAGGUUGUAUUUAUUAGAUAUACCCAGUAGGUGAUUCAUAAUAACUAUGCAAAUCGAGGCUCUGCCUCGAUACAUCAUUCAAGUUUCUGCCCUAUCAGCUUUCGAUGGUAGUGUAUUGGACUACCAUGGCUUUCACGGGUAACGGAGAAUUAGGGUUCGAUUCCGGAGAAGGAGCCUGAGAAACGGCUACUACAUCUAAGGAAGGCAGCAGGCGCGUAAAUUACCCAAUCCUGACUCAGGGAGGUAGUGACAAGAUAUAACAACGCUAUUUUAUAUAGCGAUUGUAGUGAGGGUUUUCUAAGAAGAACUUCGAGUACGAUUGGAGGGCAAGUCUGGUGCCAGCAGCCGCGGUAAUUCCAGCUCCAAUAGCGUAUAUUAAAGUUGUUGCAGUUAAAAAGCUCGUAGUUGGAUUUCAAAGUGGAGGUGAGGAAACUCGCCGAAACUUAUCAGUCCUAUCGGACUGUUACUGUGAGAAAAUUAGAGUGUUUAAAGCAGGCCAUUGCAGGAAUACAUUAGCAUGGAAUAACGAGUGUGUCUAGAAUCUUGGUUAAUUCUAGAAAACGAUUAAUAGGGACAGUUGGGGGCAUUAGUAUUUAAUUGUCAGAGGUGAAAUUCUUGGAUUUAUUAAAGACUAACAUAUGCGAAAGCAUUUGCCAAGGAUGUUUUCAUUAAUCAAGAACGAAAGAUUGGGGAUCAAAGACGAUCAG
rnacentral:rRNA from 1 species